UGUAACCUAUUUGCAACCAACUUGCAACCUGCAACCUGCAACCUGCAACCUACCUGCAACCUGUAACCUACUUGCAACCUACCUGCAACCUGUAACCUACUUGCAACCUACCUGCAACCAGUAACCUACUUGCAACCUACCUGCAACCUUUGCUAUUUACCUGCAACCUUUGCUACUCACCUGCAACCUUUGCUACUCACCUGCAACCUUUGCUACUCACCUACAACCUUUGCUACUCACCUGUAACCUUUGCUAUUUUUACCUACAAACCUUUGCUACCUACCUCCAUUUCCGAAACUUUCAACCUUCAAACCUUUGUUUAAAACCUCAAAACCUUCAGAAGCAAACAAUUCAGAGCUAUCCUAGCCCUCAUAGCUCGACAUAAUCAGGUUCUUUCUUACCUUACUUUGAUUAAUUAUGUGUGAUUGUAAUAUCAACAAUUUACCCUCAUACUGCCCACAUCACUGGAAGUUAUUUUCCAGUUACGGUCUGUGUACACAGUAAGUUUCCCUUCUUUGUUUUACCUAUUCUCAGUUUGAUCGCUCUCUGAAACAUACUCUUUUCUCUUCUCUUCUCUAUCUCUUUCUUGUACUAUAAAGUUCUACUACUGUAAAGCUGUAUUAUGAGCACAUGUGUAUUGAAUAUAUGUUUGCAUUAUAUAUGUGUUAAUCAUGCAAUUUAAGAUUCUGUUUAAUAUUAAGAUCGGAGAAAAUAGUUAUGCUCAGUGGAUAGUAUUAGAUAUAUCAGUAGUCCCCUUAUUAGGAAUAAUCUUGUUUUGUCUUAAUUAUUAUCGAAUUUUACAAGCAAUAAUCACUUACAACGGUUUGUUGUUCACAUACUUAUUAUAAAUCAAGGACUUGCAUUCUACAACUUAGAAAACAAUAAAAUAAGC
rnacentral:lncRNA from 1 species